GGAGGGCGGGGCCAUCCGAAUCCGGCGAAUCGCCUCUCGGCUCCGCUCUCUUCGGCUCCGCCCCUUCCUGCGCCUGCGUGGUGGGCGUAGCGUGUGUUUGGGCUGGAAUAGCCUGGGGCUUCUCCUACUUGAUUGUUUAGAGUCCUCGGAUCCUGCCCUCUGACCCGUGCUCGGAACUUCGCUUCAGAGUGGAAUCCUUUUUUUUUUUUUUUUUUGACUUUUACAAGCGGGGAAAAGACCUGCCCCCACUAGUUGUAAACACUGGGAGAACAAAAUAUUGUAUAUGUAGUACGGCUUAUUUUUCUGUAAAACCCUCGUUCCGCGGACUCCUAAUUGUAUUAAGAGCUUUUAUGUUUUGGUUUUUUGUAUUUUGACUACAUUGUGGUGCGGUAGUAGUGCCGGAAGGCAUAAUCCUGCAAUGAAUCCUGCUGUUCACUGAGCAUCUACCACAUGAUAAAAAGGCAUCACUGAUGAAAAGAGCCCAAAUAUUCAGCAUACCAAAGGAGAUGAUGCCUCCCUUAGGAAAAAUUGUGAAGCCCCCAGAGUCUGCAACCACCAUGUCACCAGCUUAGGUUAGAUAUGAAACAGGUUUUUGGAAAAUGGACUGAAAAACAAUUCAAUGAAAAGAAGAAAAUAUACCCCAUGAUUUAGGAC